UAGUUGUGAGUUGUGUAUAUAACGAACUAUUCUUCUGUCUUUUACUAAAUAAUAUCGUGUGUACGUCGCUAUUCAAACAACAUGUGCAUAUUUGGAAAAACCCAUUAAUUCUAUUUU